UACGUAGGUGGCGAGCGUUGUCCGGAUUUACUGGGCGUAAAGAGCGCGCAGGCGGUCGUUCAAGUCGCGUGUGAAAGCCCCCGGCUCAACUGGGGAGGGUCACGCGAUACUGAUCGACUCGAAGGCAGGAGAGGGAAGUGGAAUUCCCGGUGUAGUGGUGAAAUGCGUAGAUAUCAGGAGGAACACCAGUGGCGAAGGCGACUUCCUGGCCUGUUCUUGACGCUGAGGCGCGAAAGCUAGGGGAGCAAACGGG
rnacentral:rRNA from 1 species